rnacentral:misc_RNA from 1 species
UACGGAGGGGACUAGCGUUGUUCGGAAUUACUGGGCGUAAAGCGCGCGUAGGCGGCGUAUCAAGUCAGGGGUGAAAUCCCGGGGCUCAACCCCGGAACUGCCUCUGAAACUAGUAUGCUAGAAUCCUGGAGAGGCGAGUGGAAUUCCGAGUGUAGAGGUGAAAUUCGUAGAUAUUCGGAAGAACACCAGUGGCGAAGGCGACUCGCUGGACAGGUAUUGACGCUGAGGUGCGAAAGCGUGGGGAGUAAACAGG